rnacentral:rRNA from 1 species
GAUGAACGCUGGCGGCGUGCCUAAUACAUGCGAGUCGAGCGAACAGACGAGGAGCUUGCUCCUCUGACGUUAGCGGCGGACGGGUGAGUAACACGUGGAUAACAUACCUAUAAGACUGGGAUAACUUCGGGAAACCGGAGCUAAUACCGGAUAACAUGUUGAACCGCAUGGUUCAACAGUGAAAGACGGUCUUGCUGUCACUUAUAGAUGGAUCCGCGCCGCAUUAGCUAGUUGGUAAGGUAACGGCUUACCAAGGCAACGAUGCGUAGCCGACCUGAGAGGGUGAUCGGCCACACUGGAACUGAGACACGGUCCAGACUCCUACGGGAGGCAGCAGUAGGGAAUCUUCCGCAAUGGGCGAAAGCCUGACGGAGCAACGCCGCGUGAGUGAAGAAGGUCUUCGGAUCGUAAAACUCUGUUAUUAGGGAAGAACAAAUGUGUAAGUAACUAUGCACGUCUUGACGGUACCUAAUCAGAAAGCCACGGCUAACUACGUG